rnacentral:rRNA from 1 species
AUUGAACGCUGGCGGCAUGCUUUACACAUGCAAGUCGAACGGGCUUGGGGGCUUGCUCCCAAGUUAGUGGCGAACGGGUGAGUAAUACAUCGGAACGUACCGUGUAGUGGGGGAUAACUUAGCGAAAGUUAGGCUAAUACCGCAUACGAUCUACGGAUGAAAGUGGGGGACCUUCGGGCCUCACGCUAUACGAGCGGCCGAUGUCUGAUUAGCUAGUUGGUGAGGUAAAGGCUCACCAAGGCGACGAUCAGUAGCGGGUCUGAGAGGAUGAUCCGCCACACUGGGACUGAGACACGGCCCAGACUCCUACGGGAGGCAGCAGUGGGGAAUUUUGGACAAUGGGCGAAAGCCUGAUCCAGCCAUGCCGCGUGUCUGAAG